AUUAAUAGAUAUGUUCUUUAAAUUUGAAGAAUUUGGCGGUGAUUUAAUCUUAUUAGAGGAACCUGUUUUUGAAUCGAUACACCACGUUAUAUUUUACUCAUUUUAUUUAGUUUAUAUACCGUCAUUAUUAGAUGAUUUUUAAAGAAUAUAAUCGUUAAAAUUUAUGAAAAUAGUGUUAGUAAAUUAAAUUAGAUCAAGGUGUAGCUUAUAAAUGAGUUAAAAUGGGUUACAAUAAAAUAUAUUUAUACGAAUUAAUAUAGGAAGAAGUAUUAUAAAGGAGGAUUUAAUUGUAAUGCAAGUUUAAUAAGCUUGGAAGAUAUUAGCUCUAAAUCAU
rnacentral:rRNA from 1 species